GAUGCUUGGUGCACAGCAUCUAAGAACAAAAGCAAUUGCAAGUUGCUGGCCAGGGCCACUCUAGUAAAACAGAAAGGUUUCCAUGCAGAAGCCCCUGACCACCACCACCCAGUUCAGUAGUAUUUCCAAUUUGAGGCUCACGGCAUCCUGCAAAGCUUCCCCAAAGCUCUGGCACUCCCCAAAGGAAUCUCAAGGCCCUGGAGAGAAGGAAGAAAGGAAAGUUGUUUCCAGUGCUACUGAUAUCACACUCCAGUCACAGAGGCACCCAGAGGCCACCAGCCCUGUUCACCCAGUCUUGCAGGUGAGACGCCAACAGAAAGGGCACUUAGACGAUAUGGUAAGGAAAGAAUUUUGGAUCAAUGUAACUAUUGGAACUUUGGACUCUUGCCAAAAACAUAACACAUUCAUUUCUUCCAGAAAAAAAAAAAGUAUGUUUGUCUCAGGGGCCGUCUUCUGCCCUGCAGGAUUUUCUCUGUGGUUAACUGAACCUGGGGUCUCAUUCCUCAAUCAAAGAAUGAAGUUGUUGAAUAGGUGA
rnacentral:lncRNA from 13 species